UACGGAGGGUGCAAGCGUUGUUCGGAAUUACUGGGCGUAAAGCGCGUGUAGGCGGCUUGGCAAGUCGGAUGUGAAAUCCCCGGGCUCAACCCGGGAACUGCAUCCGAAACUGCUUCGCUAGAGUCUCGGAGAGGAAGGCAGAAUUCCCAGUGUAGGGGUGAAAUCCGUAGAUACUGGGAGGAAUACCGGCAGCGAAGGCGGCCUUCUGGACGAUGACUGACGCUGAGACGCGAAAGCGUGGGGAGCAAACAGG
rnacentral:rRNA from 2 species